rnacentral:siRNA from 1 species
UGAGCUUUGCAUUAGAGAUGUC